GGCGGUAUGCCUAACACAGUGCAAGUCGAACGAGAUCAUUUUUGUUACAAGAAUGAUGCAGUGGCGGACGGGUGAGGAACACGUAAGAACUUACCUUUUGGCGGGGGAUAACAACGGGAAACUGUUGCUAAUACCCCAUAAUGCUGAGGAGCGAAGGGAAACUGCCAAAAAGAGAGGCUUGCGUCUGAUUAGCUAGUUGGUGGAGGUAAAUGCUCCCCAAGGCGACGAUCAGUAGCUGGUCUGAGAGGAUGAUCAGCCACACUGGGACUGAGACACGGCCCAGACUCCUACGGGAGGCAGCAGUGGGGAAUUUUCCACAAUGGGCGAAAGCCUGAUUGGAGCAAUACCGCGUGAGGGAUGACGGAUCGUGGUCUGUAAACCUCUUUUCUUAAGGAAGAAUAAAUGACGGUAUUUAAGGAAUAAGCACCGGCUAACUCCGUGCCAGCAGCAGC
rnacentral:rRNA from 1 species